AGAGUUUGAUCAUGGCUCAGGACGAACGCUGGCGGCGUGCUUAACACAUGCAAGUCGAGCGGAAAGGCCCUUCGGGGUACUCGAGCGGCGAACGGGUGAGUAACACGUGAGUAACCUGCCCUGGACUUUGGGAUAACCCUCGGAAACGGGGGCUAAUACCGGAUAUGACGACUCACCGCAUGGUGUGGUUGUGGAAAGUUUUUCGGUCUGGGAUGGGCUCGCGGCCUAUCAGCUUGUUGGUGGGGUGAUGGCCUACCAAGGCGACGACGGGUAGCCGGCCUGAGAGGGCGACCGGCCACACUGGGACUGAGACACGGCCCAGACUCCUACGGGAGGCAGCAGUGGGAAUAUUGCACAAUGGGCGGAAGCCUGAUGCAGCGACGCCGCGUGAGGGAUGACGGCCUUCGGGUUGUAAACCUCUUUCAGCAGGGACGAAGCGUGAGUGACGGUACCUGCAGAAGAAGCGCCGGCCAACUACGUGCCAGCAGCCGCGGUAAUACA
rnacentral:rRNA from 1 species